GGCACUGAUCGUCCCCCUGUACGUGGCACAGGUGAGGCCGCACCUUGAACACUGUGUUCAGUUUUGGGCCCCUCACUGCAAGAAAGCCACUGAGGUGCUGGAGUGUGUCCAGGGAAGGGCAACAAAGCUGGUGAAGGGUCUGGAGCACAAGUCUGAGGAGCGGCUGAGGGACCUGGGGCUGUUUAGCCUGGAGAAAAGGAGGCUGAGGGGAGUCCUUGUGCUCUACAACUACCUGAAAGGAGGUUGUAGCCAGGUGGGUGUCAGUCCCUUCUUCCAAGUAACAAGUGAUGGAACAAGAGGAAAUGGCCUCAAGCUGUGCCAGGGGAGGUUUAGAUUGGAUAUUAGGAAAAACGUCUUCACAGAAAGGGUUGUCAAGCAUUGGAAUGGGCUGCCCAGGGAAGUGGUUGAGUCCCUGUUCCUGGAGGGAUUUAAAAGACAUGUAGAUGUGGCAUUUAGGGACAUGGUUUAGUGGUGGACUUCGGCAGUGCUAGGUUUCUGGUUGGACUGAGUCAUCUUAAAGGUCUUUUCCAACCUAAAUGAUUCUAUGAUUCUGUGGAAUCUCUUUCAAAAAAUUCUUACCUCCCCAGCUUCUUUACCCAAAACCUGACCUGCCCAGGUAUCCAGUAGGACUUCAAGUAUAACAGGAUCUUUUCAGUUUACAUUUGUUGCUCUGUUUUGCAUAAACCAUUUUUUACUUUUUGCAAAUGAUCCUGAUGUUCUUGGAUAAACCUAAUUGCUUUGGUUUAUCUCACUAUGAUUUAUAAAAUGAUACUGUGUUUAGUAAGCAUUUGGAUAUUCUGUUUGUUCGGAUGGGAGGUACAGUGCCACAUACUAGCACUUGUCUAAUCUCAUCUAGUCUGAUCCCUAGAAGUAAAUACCAAAUCCACAUGUCAAGAAUCUUUAUUCCAUACGUAGGAUGGGAAAAGGUUUCAUGUUGGCAAAGUUGUUUGUAACAUCUUUUACCCAUAUUGUAUCAAAUGUAAUUUAUCAUCAGAGCAAAGUUAGGCAAAUCAUAGAAUAGUUUGGGCUGGAAGGGACCUUUAAAGGUCAUCUAGUCCAGCCCCCCUGCAACGAGCAGGGACAUCUUCAACUAGAUCAGGUUGCUCAGAGCCCCAUCCAGUCUGUCCUUGAAUGUUUCCAAGGAUGUGGCAUCUACUGCCUCUCUGGGCAACUGGUUCCAGUUUCACCACCAUUGUCGUAAAAAAUUUCCUCCUUCUAUCUAGUCUGAAUCUGCCCUUUUUUAGUUUAAAAUCAUUACCCCUUGUCCUAUUGCAGCGGGCCCUACUGAGAAGUUUGUCCCCAUCUUUCUUACAAGCUCCCUUUAAGUACUGAAAGGCUGCAAUAACGUCUCCCUGGAGCCUUCUCUUCUCCAGGCUGAACAACUCUCUCAGCCUGUCUUCAUAGGAGAGGUGCUCCAGCCCUCUGACCAUUUUUGUGACCCUCCUCUGGACACGGUCCAAAGGAUACUGGGGCUUUAAUUUUACUUUACAGUGAAUUAAAAAAAUGCUUUCCGUUUGGGAGUUGGUGGAAGAUGAAGUAUUCUGAAAAGAGCUAGUGAACCAUCUGAAAGUAGAAAAGGGGGCUGAAUUAAACAAAAUGGUUUUUUCUUUCUGACUGGGACCAGGAAUAAUAUUUUCCUUAACAGUUGAAGGAUUCCAUUAUAGUAGAAAAAUUGAAUUAUUUUUGUUUUGAAGUGGUUGAAACAAUGUUUAUAUUUAAUCUUUUUUUUCUGAGCAGGCAGUCUGGGAAAUUAAUACAGAUUAUUGAACUACAUUAAUGUGACAGGAUCUGCACUUUUCCCUUGAAAAAUAAUUUAGGCGAAAAUUUUCACUCUGCAUUAGACUGUGUCAGUAGAAUUAACUGGGAUCAGUUGACAUAUUCUUAACAUGAGAAAUCUGCUUAAUGCAUUUUAACGUUAUGGCUAUUAGCAUAUUCCUAGUGUUGCUUUAUAUCAGUGUAGUCUAGGCCACAGGUACAUACGUAGACUUGCAGAGCAGUAUUUAAUUUUGUAAUGGCAUUGGGAAUGGUUGGCUGUGAGUUCAAGCAGCUUCAAAACUGGAAAAUAAAUAUUUUGAGCUAGUAAGGAAUCUUUGUAAAUUGCUGUGGAAAAGACUUUAAUGACUAGAGCAAAUGAGACAAACGAGCAUUAGUGGAAAAUGUUUCCAGUAGUGGUUCUGCAAGAGAUGUGCCUCGGUGGGUGGCAUCUGUGGCACAGAAGAGUAGAUCCAUGUGCCGUAGGGUGGACAGCGGAUUUGAAAACAAAUGGAGUGUAUAGAUAAGUGGUGGUCUCUGUAGGUCUGGCGAAAGCAGCUGCUGGGGCAUAGCAAGUCUCCACUCAUUGCUCUUGGUCCGGUAUCUGUUAUGUCUCUGAAGUGCCUAUUAAAUAUAUCUUGCAAACAUCAGUGUGGGCCUGAUUGAGCCACAGGUAUGACCAGCUGUUACGCUUUUGGGUAGGUAUUUAAUAUUUGUUGUGAUCUUCAUCUGACAUAUUUCAGCAAUAAAAUGUACCAUACUGAUUGUCAAGUGAACUUCA